UCUUUAUCGAUCCAUGUUUUGACCGUGUUCAACGAACUUCCCGCAGGACAAGAGGAUCACGGUGGUGGAUGCACUGGCGCAUCCCUACCUGGACGAAGGGAGACUGAGAUAUCACUCGUGCAUGUGCACGUGCUGUUACACGACCAGCGGCGGCUUGAGACAGUACACGGGCGACUUCGAGCCGGCCACGUCGCAUCCGUUCGACGAUCUUUGGGAACGGAAGCUCACCACUGUGCAGCAGGUGAAAGAGGAAAUGCACAAAUUUAUAGCGGAACAGCUGAACACGUCGCGCGUGCCGCUCUGCAUAAAUCCGCAGUCCGCGGCGUUCAAGAGCUUCGCAAGUUAGAGCAAGCCGAUCGCCGACCCAGCGCCCUACGCCGCGUAUACGUACACGUUACUACCACUACCAGUACCGAAUCAGCUAUCUACCACUGUCAGCUACUAUCGACUACUACCGCUAUCGUCUACCACUACUACUACUACCGCUACUACCACUACUACUACCACUACUACUACCAAUCGUGUUACGUCUCCUCCUGAACGAACCGAACGAACAGAGAGUCAGCUCUAGCCGGCGUGACCUCGCUCGCUGAGCUCCACAGUGGCUCAUCCUUCGGAACUGCCACCCUCUCCUCACCAAUGGGAAUAAAAUUCUUCUCCGAAAUCGCGAAUGGAUGAUGAACGUGUGGACGAGUUAUUCUCUUCACGCGAAGAGAGAACGUUGAACGAAGAAGAAAUUUUCGACAGCCUGAAGAAAAAGAA
rnacentral:misc_RNA from 1 species